rnacentral:lncRNA from 1 species
ACUCCACUCAACACUUUAGCACAUUACCAAAGUGCACUAAUCUUAAAAAUUUUUAAAAGACCCAAUUCACCCCCCUCUUGGGCUCCAUAUCUGAGCAACACUAAGGGUAAAAACUUUAAGGCCAAUAAUACUAGAUCGAUCAAGUCUGCCCAAAGAUCCAAGUAAUAAGUUCUGCUUUGUGUGUGGAAGGAUCAAUCAUCUAGCGAGAGAUUGUUAUCACCGAAAGAGGGAGCCUUUUCGCAAACCUUCUGGUUCCUCGAGACCUCAAGCUCAUGUAGCUGAAGAUCCAAAAGAUACC